GAUGAACGCUAGCUACAGGCUUAACACAUGCAAGUCGAGGGGAAACGACAUCGAAAGCUUGCUUUUGAUGGGCGUCGACCGGCGCACGGGUGAGUAACGCGUAUCCCACCUGCCCAUCACUUGGGAAUAACCUUGCGAAAGUAAGACUAAUACACAAUGAUAUCCCACGAAGGCAUCGGAAUGGGAUUAAAGUUUUAUCGGUGAUGGAUGGGGAUGCGUCUGAUUAGCUUGUUGGCGAGGUAACGGCCCACCAAGGCAACGAUCAGUAGGGGUUCUGAGAGGAAGCUCCCCCAGAUUGGAACUGAGACACGGGCCACACUGCUACGGGGCGGAGCAGUGAGGAAUACAGGGCGAUGGGCGAGGGCGUAAACCAGCCAAGUAGCGUGCAGGAAGACGGCCCUAGGGAUUGUAAACUGCCUUUAUAAGAGAAUAAAGUGGGUCACGUGUGACUUUUUGCAGGUACCUUAUGAAUAAGAACCGGCUAAUUCCGUG
rnacentral:rRNA from 1 species